rnacentral:rRNA from 1 species
UACGGAGGGUGCAAGCGUUAUCCGGAUUUAUUGGGUUUAAAGGGUGCGUAGGCGGCUUAUUAAGUCAGGGGUGAAAGACGGUGGCUCAACCAUCGCAGUGCCCUUGAUACUGAUGAGCUUGAAUACACUAGAGGUAGGCGGAAUGUGACAAGUAGCGGUGAAAUGCAUAGAUAUGUCACAGAACACCGAUUGCGAAGGCAGCUUACUAUGGUGUCAUUGACGCUGAGGCACGAAAGCGUGGGGAUCAAACAGG